rnacentral:rRNA from 2 species
GUUUGACCUCAAAUCAGGUAGGAUUACCCGCUGAACUUAAGCAUAUCAAUAA